CGCAUCGUAUCAGCGACAGAGACGCAAGUUGGAGCUCAAGCAGGAACCAUCACUGCGCUGGAUCAUAAAGAGGAACCGAGCUUCUUUUGUUCCUUAUUGGAUGUAAUCACAUUUAUCGAUCUGCUUGAUUUGCCAAAGCACCAAUCUGUUUACGCAGGGAUUCUUUGGACGCAUUAUUAAUGCAACCGUUACAACACUGACACACGUGGAGGAGUUAUUAUUAUUAUUAUUAUUGGACAACUGGAUCAUAAUGGCAACAGCUAACGGAUUUAACACUACAGCUGUGGAUCUUGUAGGAUAUAAGGAAAUCUCUUGCACGGAAUGCGUGCUGUCCAUCUGCAGUUACUCAUGCUACCCAAGUCCUGCUCCUGGACAAGUCUUUUGUCAGACAGCCUCUUGGGAUACUUUACCCGUGUUCAAGUGUGGCCAGAGUCAUAGACGGUCAGUACAAUGAUAUGCUUUUGGAAAAUCGGUAUUUGCUGUUGCGGAUUUUGACACAAGGAAUGGAAUAUCCCUGGAUAUUUUUGGUGCUCAGCAGAUGCAGCGUUUUGGAUAAUGUCAUCUCCUGAUCCAGCAGUGUAGGGAUCCAAAUUCCGGGAAUGAGGUGUCAACCCAUAAUUGCUUCCCGGGGAUCUUAUGAUGAUCUCAGGUGAGCGCCUGGAAGAAGCUGACUAAUGGAAACAUGAUCUCAAGAGAUUCAACAGGAUCAUACUAAAUCGUGGUUGGGACUGCAGGCCAGCAUUCCCUGUAGCAGAUGUUUGCUCCUGGCAUGGCUGCUGACAGCAUGAGCUCCAUCACUGACAAUCUCAGGAUCCAGCUCCCGCAACCUGGAAUUGGAGAGGCUGAACCCAGUGGGACAGUGGCGUGUAUUCUCCGGCUGAGACAUUAAGGAACAGAUCAGUCAAUCCUGUCUGGAGAUGUGCUCUAAAGGAAACUCAAUGAACAUGCUGUAUGUUUACCGUAAUUACCACAAUAGAUUGACAUAUUGUUUGCCUUUUUUUUCUAAAAGCAAUCUUGAUUCAUAUUUUCUCAUAUAUACAUCUGCUUUUAAUACUCAGUGUUUAUUCACACUCUUGCUCUUACGCUGUAGUUGUGACAUUUACUAUGUUAUUUUGGAUACAGUAUCGACAAGUGUUGGAACUGUAAAUGGGAAAUAAUUAGAUGUUAUUUUCAUUUUUAUUGCUAGUUUUACAAACUGAGAUCAGCACCAACAACACCAACUUGAUUGCAAAGUAUAGCAUAUGCAGAGUUUAUCUAACAUGGGGCACAAGAAAUCUUGUCUAUUGUGUAAAAUAAAAUAAAACACAUGUGAUCAAAAUGACUCAAAGACUAAAAGGAUGACUCAGACACAUGGAAAUGUAAUUUCAUCAUUUGACAUCUGCUAAUUGCAAUCACAAAGAAGCCAUUGUAACCAAGGUGCUGAUGAAUGCAUAUCAAAAAACUCCUCUAUUGACACUGCAUUUCAUUGUGACACAUUGGCAGCCUGUGUUAAUAUCAGUUAACAACCCUGUCAAGAUAUUUAUUCGUAUGAUGAUUUAUAAUUCCAUAUCUUUUGUUGUG